GUCAAAUAUGGACAACCUUUUAGACAAUGCAGCUAUAGUUUUUCUUUCUGACUAUGAAAAUUAUUUUGCGGCUUUGUUAUGUCCACUCGACAAAGAUCAUCAGGUGAUUCGUGGAUUUUUUCCAAGUCCAAAUCCAACUUUGUGACAGGUUGCAGCCUUCAUUAACGUCUUGCAUGAUGUCGCAAUAUCUGCAAAAUUUUCUCCUUCAACAUGUCCAGAAACUGACUGAAGUCAUUAUUUGAGCUAACCAACUAUUAUUUAUCAAUGUUAGUUACAUAUCUAUAUAUAUAUAUAUACUAAUUUCAUCAACAGUCCUCGAUGUUUGCUAUUAUUCAGAAUAUUGUAUUUUAAAAAAUAACGCUGAUUACGUUGUUUUAUAAUUAUCUAAAUAUAUUUUAUCACACCAGUAUAUGAAUGAAAAUAAUGACUA